UUGACCUCGGAUCAGGUAGGGAUACCCGCUGAACUUAAGCAUAUCAAUAAGCGGAGGAAAAGAAACCAACAGGGAUUGCCCUAGUAACGGCGAGUGAAGCGGCAACAGCUCAAAUUUGAAAUCUGGCUCUUUCAGAGUCCGAGUUGUAAUUUGCAGAGGGCGCUUUGGCUUUGGCAGCGGUCCAAGUUCCUUGGAACAGGACGUCACAGAGGGUGAGAAUCCCGUACGUGGUCGCUAGCUAUUGCCGUGUAAAGCCCCUUCGACGAGUCGAGUUGUUUGGGAAUGCAGCUCUAAAUGGGAGGUAAAUUUCUUCUAAAGCUAAAUAUUGGCCAGAGACCGAUAGCGCACAAGUAGAGUGAUCGAAAGAUGAAAAGCACUUUGGAAAGAGAGUCAAACAGCACGUGAAAUUGUUGAAAGGGAA
rnacentral:rRNA from 1 species